GAUGAACGCUGGCGGCGUGCCUAAUACAUGCAAGUCGAGCGAACGGACGAGAAGCUUGCUUCUCUGACGUUAGCGGCGCACGUGUGAGUAACACGUGGAUAACCCACCUAUAAGACUGGGAUAACCUCGGGAAACCGGAGCUAAUACCGGAUAAUAUUUUGAACCGCAUGGUUCAAAAGUAAAAGACGGUCUUGCUGUCACUUAUCGAUGGAUCCGCGCUGCAUUAGCUAGUUGGUAAGGUAACGGCUUACCAAGGCAACGAUGCAUAACCGACCGGAGAGACGGAUCGGCCACACUGGAACGGAGACACGGUCCAGACUCCUACGGGAGGCAGCAGUAGGGAAUCGUACGCAGUGGGCGAAAGCAUGACGGAACAACGCCGCGUGAGUGAUGAAGGUCUUCGGAUCGUAAAACUCCGUUAUUAGGGGUGAACAUCUUUGUAAGUAACUGUGCAGUGCUUGACGGUACUGAGUCAGGAAGCAACGGCUAACUACGUG
rnacentral:rRNA from 1 species